UACGGAGGAUGCGAGCGUUAUCCGGAUUUAUUGGGUUUAAAGGGUGCGUAGGCGGACUGUCAAGUCAGCGGUAAAAUUGAGAGGCUCAACCUCUUCCCGCCGUUGAAACUGGUGGUCUUGAGUGGAUGAGAAGUACGCGGAAUGCGUGGUGUAGCGGUGAAAUGCAUAGAUAUCACGCAGAACUCCGAUUGCGAAGGCAGCGUACCGGCGCCCAACUGACGCUGAAGCACGAAGGCGUGGGUAUCAAACAGG
rnacentral:rRNA from 1 species